UUUCUUGAAGGCUCUUGGUCUCACUUUGUGGCCCGCGGUCGUCAUCGGAGGUAAAAUCCGGGACAAGCGUCGUGAGUCAUUGGCGGCGUACCUGUUAAGCGCAGAUCGGAGAAAGUUGUGUGCGUGGAUUCGGCUAUCAAGGUGUCGGAAGCGGCUUGGAGGAAGGGGUUAAUAGGCGCUAUAUUCAAAGGUAUGUUAUCAUCAUUUCUCUCUUUGCCCCGUUGUUCUUGUUGAGCUCUUUGGUUUUUUUGUUAGUAUCUUGGAUAAGUAUAGAUCUUGGAGGCAUGCUACUUGGUCAUCUUUGGAUUAUUAUUGAAAUUUUCAUGAAAGUGUCCAACCUCUUUUGGGUUCUUAAUUUGUUAAUAACAAUGUAAUAUAGGUUUUGUAUCCCUUAUGUUCUGCUUGUGGAUUUACUAUUUUAUUUUUGCAUUACUUGUUGUGCAGCCAUCAGAGUCAGGUUUGAGACCAACUCAGGAUAACGAAAAAAGAUCUCGCCUCAAAAUUGUGGGACCAGCCAGGACAGCAUUUCUACGUGAUGAAGGGAGCUUCGACGAUCAUAAACUACAAAGGACAGUUGGUGAACUCAACAAUUCAGCAUGACUAAUAAAGUCCAAACACCUUUGGUGUCCGGUGGUUAUGCCAGAAGCUCUAGAUCAUUAUAUUUUAUACGUUUGAUGAGUAAAAACCUUUAUGUAUACUUUUAAUUUGACUUGCAGAGAUUGUUCGUCUUUUUAUUGUACAA
rnacentral:lncRNA from 1 species